AGAUGAGUUAUCUGCAACAGAAUUUCAACAUGAAAAGUUUUAUUAAAGUGGAGUAACUGUAAAGGAAUCCUUGAGGAUAUGCUACACUGUUUAAAGUCACAAGACUCAAAAUUGCAAACCAUUAUUUAUCACUCAAUCACUAGAUAUGCAGGUGUAUUGAGAAGAGGAAGGUUGUAGAGGAUGACAAUUUUUGUUUUGGGUAAAAAGCAAUAGCAUGCCUAAUGUCCAAGGAGUAGAGUCUUGCUGCGUAGGCGUCCAGAUGAGGCUUCUGAUGAAAAACUGGCUAUGCUAAAGCAUCCCCGGGAUUGUGGGAUACUCUCCCUACAGAGAAAGGACAGAAAGCUGUGCUAUUGCUCCAGUUGAUUUUUUCACAUGUAAAAAUGCAAGAAUGGGGGAGAGUAAA